UUGAAUCAACGGUCUUGGAGUCCUCUUUGGAGUUGAUUCCUCGACCUUACCUACCCCUGUGCACUGUAAAUGUUUUUUGGGACGGUGCAGCAAUGCCUGUCCCAGCAGUACAAACUACAUGUAAUUUGUCUGAACUGAACCAAAGAAUCGUAA
rnacentral:misc_RNA from 1 species